GAGCGGCCCUCCGCUCAAAAUAAUUGCCCGCCCCUGAGCUAGGGUAUCUCUGCGUAGUGCUACAUGGUGCGGUGUGGAUCUCCCAUAAGUAUUUGGAAACAAAAUCCUGAGCUCAAUCAUCAACCCAAGAGGCGUCUGUAUGCACAGUGUCAUGAUGUGUUGCAAAGUCAGACCUUUUCUCCUUUCUUUGUUUCUUCUUUCGAAUGACAAAAGCCGCAUCUGUAUCUUUAUGCACUUGGGCGCUUUUGUCAAUUUGGGAGCUCUUGGCUGUCAGAGAUGUUACCAGAGUGGAAGUGGCUCUCAUUGAUCCCCCUUUUUUUGGUUGAACACUCAUGAUGAUCUUGGACCAGACAGCUAGUUUGUUCCAACUCCAACUUGAGUUGGAACAGCAGAAGAAAGCGGUGAAUAAAAAGGUUGAUUCUCUUCAGACUCCGAGAUAGGAAGCAGACGGGGGGAAGGCGGUGAAGACAAACUGAGUAGCCUUGACUGAUCUGCCUGUUGCCCCAUUGAGAGAUAACGAUGCAUGUGGCCUUUCACCCCUGUUAUGGCUUUCAGGUUUCCCCGCAACCCAUGUCCCAGUUCUGCAAGCAUUUAGGCACAUCUUUAAUGUCAAGCAUGAGAGGUGCUCUACUGAAGUCAAGAGAACUACUCCUGUGUCUAAAGUGUGUGUAGGAUCAGGGACCUCGGUAGAUAAUAAAUGAAGGUUGGUAGUGACUCCUGGCUGUUUGAUGACCAAUGCAAAAUCACCCCGAUGGAUGUAUUUCUAGGGUCCAUAUUAAAAAAACCCCAAACCCCUCAUUAUCUUAGUCAGACUGACAUAUUCUUUCUCAAAUCCCACCCUUUAAAUUGAGAAUGAAGACUAGAACAGGAAAUACAACUUAUGGUGCCUAAGCUUAUUCACCCAAUUUCACCAUUUUCCCUCUCUGCGGAUUAUACUUUUCUUGGAUUUAAUUCACUGGCCCAUGACUCUUCUCUUCCUAAAUAUCUGCAAAUGACUCCCAGCCCAUGGUUCAUUCAUGACCAGCUGGUUAUAAGUAUUUCACAGUCCAAACUGGAGCUGUUUUGAUUGGAUGCAGUGGUGACAUGGUAUCAUUUCUGAACCCUGACUUGAUGGGCAUAACUCCUAUAAUCAGGCUUCUAAAUUUGGAACUGGCUUGCUGGAAGCCUUCUGCAAUAUUGGCCUGAUGUUUGGGAUUGCUAGGUGAAUUCAGCCCUCCACUAAUCUCAAACGAGGCCUGCCGAAUUCCUGCAGGCACGGUCAGCGUCUCCACACAGAGGUGAAUUUAAUUCCCUACAAGCAUUCCAGCCAGCAAACCCGCUUGCAAGACUAUUCAUCAGCAGCUGACAGAGUCAAUGUGACUUUGUCUCCGACUCCAAAUGGACAAUUGAGGUCAUUUUGAUUGAUCUAUUUAUUUAUUUGACUCGCUUUGCUCUGCUCUGAUUGGGACAUGUAAAGGGGGUGUAAUGCUGAAGGAAGCUUCAAUGCUUCUGUCUCUGUCCUGUGAAAAGAGAGAUGUAGUCUAUCUAACUGGGUAAUGCAGUCUAUUCGGUGCUAGUGUUUUGUUUUGUCCUUUACAAACCUUGAAUUUUUUAUCCAAUCUGUGCAUCUUUCUGCAAAUCCCAAAUGCAAAUUCUAUUAUCAGCUGGA